rnacentral:rRNA from 2 species
CACGCCGUAAACGAUGGAUACUAGCUGUUGGAGGUAACUUCAGUGGCUAAGCGAAAGUGAUAAGUAUCCCACCUGGGGAGUACGAACGCAAGUUUGAAACUCAAAGGAAUUGACGGGGGCCCGCACAAGCGGUGGAGCAUGUGGUUUAAUUCGAUGAUACGCGAGGAACCUUACCAAGGCUUAAAUGUAGAUUGACCGAUUUGGAAACAGAUCUUUCGCAAGACAAUUUACAAGGUGC